CGGCGAGUGAACAGGGAAAAGCCCAGCACCGAAGCCUGUGGCCAUUUGGUUACUAGGCAAUGUGGUGUUUAGGUCGUUCCGCAGAUACUCUGCUCCACCUCAAGUCCAUCAAUGAGUACGGUAGUAUGGACAUGGCCCAUAGAGGGUGAAAGGCCCGUGGGGGUGGAGACUCGGCUGGUCAGAGUGUCUCUGGGUAGACCUUGGAGUCGGGUUGUUUGUGAAUGCAGCCCAAAGUGGGUGGUAAACUCCAUCCAAGGCUAAAUACUUGCACGAGUCCGAUAGCGAACAAGUACCGUGAGGGAAAGUUGAAAAGUACUUUGAAGAGAGAGUAAACAGUGCGUGAAACCGCUCAGAGGUAAACGGGUGGAGUUGAACUGCAAGCUUUGAGAAUUCAGCUGAUGAGUGUGAUUUGGGCUUGGUCAAAUUGGUGAACUCCGGGGUCUGUGUAGUAGCAGGUCUCUGCCCUCGGGUGGGGAUGCGCGAUACACUUGUCAAGUGUUGUGCGCCUCGGUUGUUUUUCGGCCUACUCGUCAGUGCACUUUCUCAGAGUGGUCACCACGACCGGCACCGCUGUCUGGUUGCUAUGGUUAAACCGGUUUUGCAUAGCACUCGUGGCUUUGCUUGAUCGGGAUGGCAGGUAGCUCGUUGACUUGCUUGUGGCUUGCUGCAGGCGUCGGUUUUCGAGUGUAAUCAGCUGACCUUAGUGACUCUGUGCAGUGUGUCGGAGACGGCGGCUUGAGGUGUGUGCGUGCUCCCUGUUCUGCUGACCUAUCCGGGUUUGGUUGUUUUGUUGCCUGUUCAAGCAGGCCUUAUGAUGGCUCGGAUUUGUCGGGUGGGGGGUGGAGUACGUGGCACUAAUCUGAGGGCCAUAGUCAGUGGUGUAGUGGUAGACUUUCCACCUGACCCGUCUUGAAACACGGACCAAGGAGAGUAACAUGUACGCGAGUCAUUGGGCGUUACGAAACCCAAAGGCGUAGUGAAAGUAAAGGUUUGACUCGUUCAGACUGAGGUGAGAUCUUGUCGUUUCUUACGCGUGGUACCACCAAGCAUCGAGCGGCAGGCGCAUCACCGGCCCGUCCCAUGACAGUUGUUUUCGGGCAGUUUUCGGUCGGGGCGGAGCAUGAGCGUACAUGUUGAGACCCGAAAGAUGGUGAACUAUGCUUGCGCAGGUUGAAGCCAGAGGAAACUCUGGUGGAGGACCGCAGCGAUUCUGACGUGCAAAUCGAUCGUCAAACGUGAGUAUAGGGGCG
rnacentral:rRNA from 1 species